UUUCAUGACGUUGACGUUAAUAUUUUUAACAUUUGGGUUUUGGCUCGCAGCCCUGGUUACAGCAGGAUGGCGAAUCUCAUCAGAAAUGAAGCCAUUUCCAUCUGUUAGAAUGAUGGCGAUGGUAUGGAAAAAUUUUUCGACACAUCCGAUUUUCAUGAAUAACACCCUUUCAGAACAACUUAUCAAAGGCCAAGUACUCAGAACGCAGGUCACCAAAUACAGUGAAAGCAUCUUCUAUAUGAAGAAAUGUACAUAUGAAAGAAUAGAUGGAUACCUUACAAACAAUUGCUUUUCUUACACACGCACUAGAGAUUCAACAAAUGGUGGAGCAACAGGCUGUAAAAUAUAAGCUCUUCCUAUUUUUCGUUUUUCAUGACUCAAUUUAUCGUACA